GGGCCGCUAGCUCAGUUGGUUAGAGCACCGCCCUUACAAGGCGGGUGUCGGGGGUUCGAGUCCCUCGCGGCCCA
rnacentral:tRNA from 2 species